CACCACUUUAUUAAACUCAUCAUCAAGUCUCCUGAAGAACUCCACCUGAUGUUCAUCGCUUUGAUCGGACGAUGAAGCGAACAGCAUGCUCUGCCCGCUGAAAGCUCUGUACAGAGAGACCCUUCUCUUCAAGUUGCGCGUUGCCCCGUCGGAUGCCUCUGGCUGUCUCGCCCGGCUGACUUCUUUCAACACUGUUUUCAGAUGGCUGUAAUCCAGGUGGGAAGAUUUGGAUUUGACAUGAGGAUGUCCUAGUGAUUACUGCGCAAACAUCUUGACCUGCACUGAUUUGACAGCGUCAACCACGAUACUGCUGUUGUUUAAAGAAAAGUUUGUCAUUAAUUCCUUGC